rnacentral:rRNA from 1 species
CCUACGGGAGGCAGCAGUGAGGAAUAUUGGUCAAUGGGCUUACGCCUGAACCAGCCAAGUCGCGUGAGGGAAGACUGCCCUAUGGGUUGUAAACCUCUUUUGUCAGGGAGCAACGCCGGCUACGUGUAGCCGGACUGAGAGUACCUGAAGAAAAAGCAUCGGCUAACUCCGUGCCAGCAGCCGCGGUAAUACGGAGGAUGCGAGCGUUAUCCGGAUUUUUCGGGUUUAAAGGGAGCGUAGGUGGAUUGUUAAGUCAGUUGUGAAAGUUUGCGGCUCAACCGUAAAAUUGCAGUUGAAACUGGCAGUCUAGAGUACAGUAGAGGUGGGCGGAAUUCGUGGUGUAGCGGUGAAAUGCGUAGAUAUCACGAAGAACUCCGAUUGCGAAGGCAGCUCACUGGACUGCAACUGACACUGAUGCUCGAAAGUGUGGGUAUCAAACGGGAUUAGAUACCCGAGUAGUC